rnacentral:rRNA from 2 species
GAGCGAACUGAUUAGAAGCUUGCUUCUAUGACGUUAGCGGCGGACGGGUGAGUAACACGUGGGCAACCUGCCUGUAAGACUGGGAUAACUUCGGGAAACCGAAGCUAAUACCGGAUAGGAUCUUCUCCUUCAUGGGAGAUGAUUGAAAGAUGGUUUCGGCUAUCACUUACAGAUGGGCCCGCGGUGCAUUAGCUAGUUGGUGAGGUAACGGCUCACCAAGGCAACGAUGCAUAGCCGACCUGAGAGGGUGAUCGGCCACACUGGGACUGAGACACGGCCCAGACUCCUACGGGAGGCAGCAGUAGGGAAUCUUCCGCAAUGGACGAAAGUCUGACGGAGCAACGCCGCGUGAGUGAUGAAGGCUUUCGGGUCGUAAAACUCUGUUGUUAGGGAAGAACAAGUACGAGAGUAACUGCUCGUACCUUGACGGUACCUAACCAGAAAGCCACGGCUAACUACGUGCCAGCAGCCGCGGUAAUACGUAGGUGGCAAGCGUUAUCCGGAAUUAUUGGGCGUAAAGCGCGCGCAGGCGGUUUCUUAAGUCUGAUGUGAAAGCCCACGGCUCAACCGUGGAGGGUCAUUGGAAACUGGGGAACUUGAGUGCAGAAGAGAAAAGCGGAAUUCCACGUGUAGCGGUGAAAUGCGUAGAGAUGUGGAGGAACACCAGUGGCGAAGGCGGCUUUUUGGUCUGUAACUGACGCUG